rnacentral:lncRNA from 1 species
UUUCCGCAACUCUUUCUAUAUCAUGAACUCUCUCGAUACAAAAGCAGCCGGCGAGAGAUAACAAGACAAUACAUGUCAACUUAAACAUGAACGUCAAGAAAUACUCAUAAUACACGAAGCCCUCGUAAGGCAAAACAAGCAACAUCAUCUCGACAUCGUUCAUUAACACGAAAACCACUUGAAAGAAAGACCUCAAUCCCUCAUUAAUCAUGAGGCCCUCCCAAGCCAAGCCCUUUUAAAUGACAACAACCCCUCUCUUUCUCUAUAGUUCACUCCAAACCCCCAAAAAAACAAUUUACUUCCUCCUCUUUCUCCUCUGUUCCUGUCCUUGUCUCUCCCUCUCUCGAAAACCAAGAAGAUAACUCGCCACUCCCAAUGUCUCGCCACAGAAGGCAAGCAUCUCAAGUCCUCCCACCUGAGAUUCUCGCCGGAGAGGAUCUUAUCAUUGACUCCGUCAUCGGUGGUCAGCAGCAGGUAGCCGACGAGAAACCCACCAAUAAGCCUCCCAAGAUCAGGAAGCAGCAGCAGCAGCAGCAGAAGAAGAAUAAGGAAGAGAAUGAAGAAUCCUCAGCUUCCCCAGCAGCUUCACCAGCCACCCACAACAACAAGUAGCUAGAUCCAUUUUGUCUUGCUCUGUUUUUUCUAUUUUAAGUUCAAUGUAUUGUUGCUCUCUCCCUUCUUAGUUUUCUAGUUUCUUAACUUUUGUGAGUUGGUUGGUGUAACUCUGUUCUUAUCCUAAUCCAGUUGGUAGUUCGACUUUGGUUCCCAAAACUUUCUUACAGCCGUCAAAACACAAACACACCAUGAGAUGACUAACACAAAGAGUGCAUGUACUACAAUUUGUUCUGCAGAUUUGCUCACCAACUUGCUGUACAUUCAUGUGCAACUUUUCAUUGAGUCAAUCAUUUAGCAGUUAUGAAAACUUGUCUUUCUGGGCAAGGGAUCAAGGUUGUUGUAAUGCAGGUCGAGUGCAAACAAUUAUAUGAGUUCACUCACUGUGUGGAUAAAUUGUUUGUCUGUAACUAACCAGAACUAGCAAUUGAAGUGAAAGUGACUUGUGUACGUACAGGUGGAUUCAAUUAUUGUACUCCCCAUAUUCAUUCAUCCAAAAAGAAAAUUACAGUGCUACAUUCUUAUCUCUUUAGGUGAAGUUACUGUGCAUUGACGAUUCGUAUUUGAUUCAUCUGAAAUCAACUAAACUAGUUUCACUGUGUUUUGUAACAAAAAUUAAUAAAUGGAUACUCUUCGUUUUCUAGAAGAUUUAGUAUGUCGAAUCUUUCGAUUUAUCACUAACAAUAAUUGAACUAUCAACGUUUAUUUGUUAAUUAUUUAACGUUACAUACAACUAAAUCGAUAUAAAACCACAGUUAAACCAUCAAAGUUUCUUCCACUAACCUUUCUAGUAUUGAAUUUUUUGUAAAAAAUCUCCCCUACUUUUUUUUUUUUUUUUUUUUUUAAAAAAAGUCGCCCUGCUCAUUUGAAAGUAUUAGAUUGCUCUUUUAUUAAUUAAUUUUAGUGAUAAAUAAGUUUCUUAAUUUUGGGAUUUCUAUGAAUUAAUUUUGACUUUUUAAUUUAUGAUGAUUUCCAAUUUUGAAAAGGACAAUUAUGGUAAUUAAGAAAUUAAUUUAAGGUCCGGAGGAGUAUGGUGACUUAUCAAACAAGGUAAAUAUUUAUCUUCAUCCACAUUUAAAGAUCUAGAGAAUUUAGAAAUAAAGGAAAUUUUGGUAAUAAUUUAGGAAUUUGAUAAAGGUAAAUUUGGGUAAUAAUUAGGAAUUUUAUUAAGCCAAUUUCGGUAAAAAAAGAUGUCAUCUCCUUUUCCAUUGGCGUGGUGCAAACGGGCAACAGACUCGCUAAGCGAGGAGGUGCAAACCGACAUCAUACCCGUUUUUGACAUUUGGACCUCGCCAAUGAUGAGUUCGACGUCCAUAAGAACGAAAGUGGGAUGAGUGUUGUGUUUUUGUUGAGUUAAUUAUAUUGAAAUAUUAUAACAAUAAAAAUAUUUCAGUCAUACUAAAAUGUCAGGGUAAUAUAAUUUUGAAUUCUAAAAGUAUCUUCAUCCCAAAAAUUUAACAAUAUCUAAAAUAAGGUGGAAGAUAAUAUGAUAUUCUUUAAGCAAUUGUUACGCUGUAACCAAAUUUUUAAAUUAAAAAAUUUAUUUGCAAUGUGACAUAGACAUUCUAAGCAAGAUAUUUAAACAAAAUUUAUUUUAUAAGAAAUAAUUAAUAAAACAGAAAAUUAGAAAUGGAGGUAAUAAUAAUAAAAAUUGAUAAAAAAUUAGUGGGAUAUAGAUGUUUAAAAAUUAUAAAAAUUGUGGAUGUAAAAAUUGCUAAAUCAUUAGGGAAUGAAAAAGAUGGCCCAAGCUGACCAAUAAACUUUGGGAACAUAAUAUAUUAAUGAAAAACACGAGGAAAAUUAAAAAUAAAUUUUGGGUACUAUCUUUUGGAGUUGAGAGAAGAUGAAGGUCAAAGAUUAGGUUAACAUCACGUGAUUUUAAAUUUAACGAAUCAAUGCUGGGAAAGAAUCUGGAGAUAAAUUUUAGGGGCUGAGCAAGGUGGUUUGAUUGGGUUUUUUAGGAAAGGGUUUCACAUUAAUUAACAAGUGUCAUUAUUGUUCUUGAGGGUCAUUCACUAGCUUUUAUUCAACCUUUUAAACACUGGUUUAACCUAAAAAAGAGUUUCAAAGAUGGUUUCUAACGAUAAAAAUAGUAAAGUUAUUAUUUUGGGUUGGGAAACACUUGAAAGUCACUAUUUUGGAUCGAUUCGGAUUUUCUUGUAGCUACGUUAUUUUUAGUAAACAAAUGCUUCGUAGCUGUUGAUGUGCUCUAUUUUCGACACACCUUUUCUCGUUAUAAACUAUAUUUUUGUGUGUCAAAAUGUAUUCAAAUUUGGGUUUUGAGUACAUGUUUGGUUCUCUUGCCCCAAGGCCGUGUUAUGGUGGUUGAUAUUUUUUGGUACAUUUCAGGUGUCAUAUGAUGUUUAGAGAUGAACCAAAACAUGAUGGGGAGACUGGAACAACUUGAGAGGUGCGAUUUGGGAAGAAAACAUCACUGUUUAGUAUUUUGAGCAUAACUCAUCGCUCGGAAGUCCAAUUGAUGCAAGGUCAGCGACAUUGGAAAGAUAAUUCGAUUGUAUACAACUUUUAUGCUGAUAUCAUAGUUAAAUUACACAUAAUUAAGGAACACGGUGUGUCCCUCCUCUGGAAUUGCCCGAGAAAUUUACAGGGGCGGAACACGGCGUGUCCCACCCCAGCCGGGUUUUCAAGUCCUCCUCCUUCUCCAACUUGGCCCAGAAGUCUAUAAAUACCCCCGAGACCCCCUAUAAACGGGAUAUACUUCAUUAUACACAUAUUUUUGAGCUCUUAGAGAGAGCUAGAGUUCCAGAGAGACGAUUGAAGCGAGAGGAUCAACCACGACUGGCGAAGGGCAAAUCAUCAAGUCGAAGAUUGGGAUUUCGAAGAACAUGUCGUCUUCUCCGAUUUUUCUUCUCUUCUCUUGUGAUUUAUUUUCCCGAACCAUGAGUAGCUAAACUUUUCGUGUUGUUCGUAUGAGAUGAAACUUCAGUCAAGCUUUUGUAUGGAUGAUGGAGUUGUAAGCCCUUGAUUUUUUAUCGAGGUUAUUCAGACAUAUGAUGCGUUCUUCCUGAAACCUACAUCUGAUUCAAUUUCGUCUGGCUACCUUGAUUGAAUCAUCGGCAUUGAUUUGUGGGUCCGAGAGGAACAUAGAUUUAUAAGUCGCUUAGGAAGAACCCUAGAUUAUUCGUUAGCUCGAGAGAGGAACGAAUCGUUUAGAAUUUUUGCAUCGUUUAUCGUUGUGACAUUUCAUCGGACACCUUUAGUGCGUUUUGUUUAGGUGUAGAUUAGAUCGAGAGAGGAGUCUAUGGUUAAGUGAAAUAGAUCUUUAGAGGCGUGGGAGUGAUCUAAGACUACCAUAGGAAAUUGCCAAGCCAUCAUAACCUGAAUGUUCGAGAUAACUUGUCGUUCAUCCAUGCAUUGGGUAGCUUUAGUGGAUUCAAAUCCGAAUAGCUUUUAUUCCAUACUUGAAACUCAAUAUCUUGAAUUUGUUUUCCUUUAAUUUUCAUUCCUAGAUAUUAAAUGGUUACUUAAAACAUCCUUCAAAACAAUCAUACACUGUUACUUGGUCUAGUUAAUUAAACGAUUUGAGUAAUAGAAGUAGAAAGACUCUAGGGAAAUUAACGAUCCCAUUAGAGCAAUCUAGUGGAUAUUUGUUAGCGGAUGAAAAUCCGUUCAUCAGAUGUCGCCGUUGCUGUGGGUGUACUCCCCGGAUUAGAGUGGAACCACGUAAAUCCUGAUAUUAUUUACCUUUCAUCUUGUGUUUGGUAAUUUUGUAAAUGUUGUGGUAUAUUACGAUGUUAAAUUAUUGAAGUAAAUUGUUUGCUAAGUUACAAGAGUUAAGAUAACAUGUGAUUGGUCUAAAAUGGAUGUUGCAUCCUGUCCACGUGGUGAUUUUUACGCUCAUAAUUUUUGGAUAUUUACUUGAUAUGAUUUAAUAUUUCAAUAUAUUUACAAGAUUCAUAAACCAACAAAUUUAUCGGUUUAAAGUGACACGGAGAAAGACAAAAAAAAAACAUGGCCGAAUCAAGGAACACAAAUGCAAGGGUUCUUUCCUCAUCCCAUUUCAUACGACAAUUCCUGAGGAAAAUAAAUAAGGAGAAUGAUACAAUGAAAUUCAAACCAAUUCCAUCAAAGAAGAAAAGAAACCAGAGUUAAUCUACAGUUAUGAAUGACGAAGUAAAUCAACAACUGGCCUAGAAGAAAGCUCGGCUUCCAUAAAACACCCUCGAUCCAUCCUUUUUCUUCUUCUGCUGCUGUUGUUGGUGCCCAUUAAUUUCAUCCUCCUGUUUAUGAUCAUUACCACUAUUCCCAUGAAUCGCUUGUAUCAAAUCUCCUCCUCCUCCUCCUCCCCCGGGCUUGUCCAAAUCCAUCGGAAGCUUCAUUUUAGCAAGCGACUCAGUAAACUGCUGCAUACUCCUCAUGUACAUAUCCACUAUCUGCUGCUGCAUAGCCGAUUCCUCCGCCUCCGAAUUCAUCUUCGGAAUCACCGGCGGCAGAGUAGUCGCCGCUAUGAUUUCGCCGUACUUACCGUUUCCCUCUUCUUUCCUCCUGUCUUUCUCGUCUCUGAUUACGCUCCCUUUCCUCGACGUCGGAGUGUCCGGACACCCGCCGGACGAAGAUGACGAGCUCUGAUUGCAUUCACCGGAAACAGAGACGUUCAAGGAGGUGGUGGACGGCGACGAUUGCCAGCUCUUCUUCCUCUCGUCGCUGAAGCUUGUAGUAGUGGAGGAGCUAAUGAACCCGGAUGAUGUCCUGAAGCUUCCGCCGGGAGAAACUGAACCACUACCGCAAUCGGCGGGGAGAGGAGGAAGAUUUCCUAAAUGGAGGAAGGAACCGAGUUUCCGAUCGAAAUACUCAGAAACCAUUUGCUGAUUCUGCUGGAUGACGUUGAAAUCGGGAAAUUCGAUUCUAGAAUACUCCACGGGGUCCAUCUUCCUAUGAUCGAGCAGAACUACCUCGGACGAAAUCGAGGAAUUAACGGUGGCGGAGGAAGGAAGAGAUAACGUUAACGGCGUUAAACAGAGGGUCAACUUAACGGUUCCGGCAGGGGAAUGGAAGAGAUCAGUAGAGGAGAGUGUAUAAUCUCGCGAGACUUCCCCUUUCCCGAUCACCUGAGAAACAGGGACGAGAGCGAAUCCGAGGAGCUGAUCCUCCAUCAAGUUUCUAGCCCUGCUGAACAUCCAGAUCUCGCAUUUAACGACAGCGUCGAGGACUUGGGAGACUUUGACGGCGAUCUUCUCGUUGAAUUCCGGGUUCCUCCCGCCGCCGGUGUCGAUCCGGGGGGAUACGGGGUCGCCCGGGCCCAUUCGGGUCGGGUUGUAAGGAUCCAUGAAGUAUUGGAAGAAGAAGUAAAAGAGUGGUUUGGUUGGUAGGUGCAGGCGAGGCAGGGGGAAGAAGAAGAAGACGACGACUUUUUGGUGUAUCGUGUGGAAGAGCUUUUGGGUUUGCUUUGUUUUUUUGUUUAAGUAUGACAAUGACGAGCUACGGAGAAUGAAGUCAAAGAAUGAAAACUGAUGAAUAACAAGGAGAUGAUGAUGAUGAUGAUGAUGAUGAUAGCUAUGUAAUGUUCUUCUUGGGCGAUGAUGGCAUUUUAUUCUUUUUUUCCCACCAAUGUAAAGCUUACUGCUGAUACAAGACCAAAUUUGGAGUUAGAGGUACUGUUGGAUUUGAUUUAAAUAACUUUCGUAAAUCUCAAUCGUCUAAAAAUUAUAUUUUAGAUACGGUAGUAAAUAUAAAGCAAAAUUAACAUUUUACAUCCAUAUAAAUGUGUAUUUUAAGUAUUACACUAAGUAUUAUACUAAAUAGUAUUACACUUUGUUAAAAGCAAUACAAGUGUGUAUACACUUCUGUAUGAAUUUGUACAAAUAUAUACACAUUUGUGUGAUCUGUACAACUCUCCAUACUAAGUUGUAUAGUCAGUCAACGAAAAAUAUUUCUAGAAAAAUAAAUUUUUUUCUUAGAAAUGUAAUGCCGAAGACGGUGAUCAGGUAUGUGCAAAUUAUUUCGUCAAUGGUGGUCGGAAUCUCUAGGAAAUUGAACGGGGAACUUUUUGGUUACUGGAGAUAGGCCUGAGAUCCGGUCGGGGCCCGGGUUUGAACGGUCAGAUUACGGGUUAGAUCACAAUACCCAAACCCGAAAUUUCCAAUCCUAACUGGAGAUAGUGGUCCGACGAUCGAAAAUGGCAGAAUUCUGAUCCAACAAAAAUAUUUAAAAAAAAUAUGACUAUAUUGUUUCGGGUUAAUCUUGACCUUUAGAUCAGGUGGAAAUCCAAAAUCGAACAUUGCUCCCAAAAAUUGGACUCGUUUUUAUAGGUGGAUUUUGAAGGAGAUUUCUAGCUAUGUCUUAUGGAGUUAAUUACAAUUGAAGUUGAAUCAUAAGUUCAUCUCAUUUCCCAUUCACAAAUAAGUAUAUAAGCCAUGAAUUAGUGAAUAGGGAGUGAGAGGAUACUGAAACAAUGAGUUAGUUGUUCAUGAUAUGGUUUGCCAUUGAGAUUUGUUGUGUUUCAGAAUUUGGGUUUGAGAGAAUACUUAGUGGUGGGGAAGAGCAACGGCAAGUUUGAAUGGUGAGUGAGGAUGGGACUUUUGGGUGAAGAAAAUAUGUGGGGAUUGCUUUGCUUGACAAUGCAGGCUUCCAUCGGCUACUGUACUCCACCACCACAGACCACAAUCUUGGCUUUCAAUUUCAUCCACCCCCUUCCCACAAAGAUGAUUCCCUCCCAAAUUAAAAGCAUUUCAUACAUAGCCAACUCCUCAAUCAUGAUUAAUCAAUGUUACCUAGCUAGGUCCCCUUUUUUCAUUUUGCAUGUUUCAACACUAUUCCCAUUACAAUGUAUUUUUCUUCUUACAUUACAAUAUUUACAUAUGUUGCUUUUUUAACUAUAUAUACAUAAUGUUUUUUUCCCGAGUAGAACCUGACUCUCAGUCAAUACAAAAUAGAAGACAAGGAAUUAACAGAUGUUCAGUUUUUUGAAGUAUACUGAAUUUGAACAUGGGACCUCCAUAUAACCAAAUACAUGCUCUACCACCGGAGCAAUUCCACUUAGACUAAUACCUAGAAUGUUGAACUUCUUAAAACUUAAAACCACUAUGACAACAGACUAUGUCCAAAUAUAAGGCGAACAUUUCAAUACCGUAGGUAGCAAUAUCCAUNNNNNNNNNNNNNNNNNNNNNNNNNNNNNNNNNNNNNNNNNNNNNNNNNNNNNNNNNNNNNNNNNNNNNNNNNNNNNNNNNNNNNNNNNNNNNNNNNNNNNNNNNNNNNNNNNNNNNNNNNNNNAACAUAAAAUAUGACAAAAUAUAAUAUAAAAGGUACUAAUGAAAUUAAAGGAACAACUCAUUUUCAUUAAUUUUUUACAAUAUUUUUUUAAAUGCAUAAAUCAAAGUAACAAAUACAAUGUCGUUGUUGGGUAAACUGAGGGGUUGUCUGUUGUCAACUCAGGUAAGACCGGUGAUGUCAUCACAUAGGUAUCAAAAUAAUUUUACAUUUCGAAUUUUAAACCCAAAAUGUCUAUAAACAAAGUCAAGUGUUACAAUCACACGAUUACAACCUAUUUGGCUACACAUUCAACAUUUUGGUAUAGAUAGAGUACAUUUCAAUUAUUGAUAUCAUGUUGUUAUUGACUCCAUAAUUUAACGACCAAGAUGGAUAUUAAUCCAACCUUUUAUGGUUCAAUCUUUAUCAUCCAAAUAGACUUGACAAUGAGUCGGAUACGAGACAAAUACCCCCUAUGCGUUGCCUGCUAGUUGUGUUAAUGAGUUUUACCCGUCCCCUACCCAUCAAACUUGAUAGGUAUACAUUUUGUACCAAACCCAUUUUGUGACUAGCUCGAAUAAACCCGUGUCAGUCGGUUAAACCCAUCAAGAAUAAAAAACACAUACUUAAAUCAUUAUCCAACAAAUCUAAAUCCAAAACUAAGAACAUGAACUAAGAAUAACUCAAAAGUAUGAACUAUUUCCCAACAAAUCUAAAUCCAACUCUAAGAAAAUCAACCUAAAAAUCUGGAAAAUCGACCUAGAACAUAGGAAGAUGUAGAUUUAAUAUUAUCAGGACACCCCCUAAGUGUCCUAAUGGUUAGAACAUUAUUAAUAACCAUUAGAUUUAAGCAGCAUAAUCCUACGGAGGUUGAGAAAUCUCGAAAAAAUCAUACAACAAAUGCAAAAACAGAAUGGAUUCACUAACAGAAAAAAAUGUACACCAAGUGGUAAACUGUGAUAAAAACCAACUAAGCAAUCAGCGACCCAAUUGCCUUCUCGAUACAUCGCCGAACUACAAAACACAAAAUCAACACGUAAGACUUUUCUUGCUUCCCCUUUGACUUUUUGAAAGACAAUGAGCAACACGUUGAAAGGUUCUUUGCUUGUGAUGUUGCAUGAUAUCAAGCUCUCUUAGGUCAAGAGGAAAAUGGGUUACGAUGUAGAUUUUUAGAAGAUGAAAGUAACAUUCCAACUUUUUCGAUUAUAUAUUAUCUGCUUUGGCCUUAAGCUCACGUUUAACAUCAGAGGUUUUAUAAAAAUUCCUCAAUUUUACUUUGAAAAUGUGUUUUGUUAGACAAUGUCGAAUUGCUCAUUAUAGUUCAUGGAUCUAUCCCGUAUUUUUUCAAUGUAAGAUUUUCCUAAAGUAUUACAUUAUACUUUCUUGCGGACUCAACUUUCUCAUUGAGAUUUACCCCACCACCGUUCAAGAGGGAUGCAAUAGUUUUACGUACUUCUUUUUUGGUGUAUUAGGGCAUCUUCAUCCCAAAAUUUUAGCAAUUGUUAAAGUCAUAUGGAAGAGUGAGGUGACGCCUAAUUAGCAAUUAUUAGAGAUCCACAAAUUAAAAAAAUUUCUAAUUUAGAAAGUUAAUUAGCAAUGCCACAUCUGCAAAUAGACCACCUUUAAAAAAAAAUAUUUAUGUGAAAUUAUAUUAUGAUAAGAUUUAUAUUAUGAAUGAUGUAUUAUUAUUGGUGGAAAAAUAUUGUUAAGGAAGACAUAAAUGAAUAAAAAUUAUUAAAGAAUUUAGGGAAGCGAGUGGUUAGAAUUUUUAAUUAAGUUAAUUGCUAAAUUUGUUGUUGUGACAAUAUGAGCAUAAUUAAAAUUAUUAAAUAAAUUUUGAGAUAAAUAUGGUUUUAAAUUAGUUGGAUGAUAAUUUUGACACUUGCAUUUUAUAAAUGAUUUACUUCAUGGUUAGUAAGUUGGUUAGGGUGCUGCAUUGCUAAUUCAAUAAUCUCUUUCACUUAUAAGUAAUAACAAUGUUGUAUCAGCUAGAAAUUAAUAAAGGUAUAUGUUGAAAUUUUUUGUUUAAUUCAAUUCAAAAAUAUAUUAUAAAUAUAGUAUGUGAAUCAAUUUAUUUCUAGAUUUUGAAUAUAAAAACAUUCAUUGUACAUAAAUAAUUCAUUCUUAAAUAAAAUAAAUUUCUGGUUCAUCAUUUAAUUCAUUUGAUUCUAAACGGUGAGUAAUAGUGAAGUGCUCUAAAGUCCAUAAACAAACCAAAAAAAUUUUAAAAAAUAAAAUCGCUACCAAACCAAACGAAAUGUUUUGAAUGCAAAAACGGUUUUUCCGGCGACAGUUUCAUUCCAGCAGCAGGCGCUGAUCUCCCUAAAACGUCUGUCAGCUCAGCAAAGCCGCGUCGUCGUCAUCGUCAUCGUCGUCUCUCAAUCACAUCGUUGACAUACCAAGUAAUCAAAUCAAGUAUCUGCUCAGCUCUCGCUUUUUUAUACUUUUUCUCUCUAUCGUCGUCGGUCCCCAACAAACCUCGCCCUACCUACGGUAAAACAAUUCUCCUCCCUAGUAAUUCUCUUCCCCCUCUUCUCCCAUUGAUUCUGCUUCGCGGUCGUCGGUUCAUCAUUUUCCAACUUUCUAUUUUCCUUCAUCUCAUUGGUCAACGGUGGGUAUCAGUAGACUGAUUGCUGUCUGUUUCUCAGAUCCGCAUGUGCAUGUUUAUUUUCGAUUUAUAGUUCCACCUUUCUAAUUCUGUGUGCUGGAUCAGAAUUCUCGCUGCCAUUUUCCUAGUUCUACGUAAUUUGCAACUAUGGUUACUAAAAAUGAUUGCUUUCUCUCUAGUUAUUGAGACCCCAUUUAUUCCUUUCUUCCACCCGAUCCUUACUUUUUUUUGUCUCAAUUUUCUACCAUUUUUUUCUUGCUGCAGUUAGUAGGCGUUUGAUUUCCUCGUUGACCCAGCGAGGAAGGGGCAUACGGUGAUUUUCGUUUACACCAAUUUGUAUUACAAAUUGUGAUUUGGUGUCAAAUUAGGAUUCUUGUAGGGGUUUGGCUCGCGAGGUUUGCUAAAUUGGGGAUUCUUCAGUGUCAAUUGAUGAGUUAAUUCUUAAUUUUUAAUUUUUAAUUGUUUCCCAUGGGGUUCUUUUGAUUUGGGGUUUACAUUUCGGAUCCAGAGGAGGGAAAUGAUUGAGAGGAAAAAAAUGGGGAGGGUGUCACCUUUGCUACUGGUGCUUUUGGCAUUUGGGUUUGCCUUUGCAACCUAUAACUUGUUAACGUUGAUAAUCAACUACAAGACCACCAAUUCAGGAGAUGGAUCAGGUGGUUUUUCUGAUCCCAUAGCUACGAUGCCUCAGAGGGUGAGGAAAUUAGGGAACCCGAAUUUGAAAUACCAUGUGGCGCUUACCGCAACUGAUGCUCCUUAUAGUCAGUGGCAAUGCCGGAUUAUGUACUACUGGUAUAGGAGGAUGAAAGAUGCCCCCGGAUCGGACAUGGGGAAGUUCACACGAGUUUUGCAUUCAGGGAAGGCCGAUAAUCUUAUGGACGAAAUCCCUACUUUCAUUGUUGAUCCUCUGCCAGAGGGUUUGGAUCGGGUAAGUUUCUAAGAUUACUUUCCUGAUGGUCCUCUGUUUAGUUUAUGCAGUGAACUUCUAUUGUAAGGAAUAACUUGAGAUCAAUUUGUCACUUGAAGAUGUAUAAGCGUACUGUAAUACUGUAUGUCUGUAUAUCUGAAUCGAUCUAAAUGCAAAUAAAUUGAAAGUAGUUUGUCAAGUUACUGUCCAUAUUUGAAUCCGUUGUGCACAAGUAGAAUCGAUGCUUAUAUGCAGCAGAUAGUGAAGAGUGUUAGUCUAUUGAAUUUCAUUACCUUUUUCCCAUCUGUUGGCUAUUCCGUUAGGGUUUAAGGCGUUCGGAAUAUUGUUUUGGGAAAUGCAGCUGGAUAUAGUUGCACUUUUGCCUAGUUUGAGGGUUUUUAUGUCUAGGUUAUUCUCGUAGACUCUCUAUUAUCAUCCUAGAAAGGACAAAAGCAUUCAUGCUCAAACUCGUAUGUAAGAGAAAUCCUUGCCCAAAUUGAUGUGGUAUUGCAUUACAUUAGAGUAGAGUGUUCACCAUUUCAGUAGUGUGAAUCUUAAAAUGUUAUUCAGAUCUCAAUUGUUCCAUAGCAAUGGGAUAUUCCAAAGUGGUUGUGCAUCAAUACCUAAUAUAACUACCACCUUCUUGAUCGAUGCAGGGGUAUAUUGUCUUAAACAGACCGUGGGCCUUUGUUCAGUGGCUGGAAAAGGCAACCAUUGAGGAAGAGUGAGUUUAUAAAGUUGCUCUGAUACUUGUUUGCUUUGUCUCAAUGUUUUCUGAAUCUUACCAAGGUUAUACGCAGUUACAUCCUAAUGGCUGAGCCAGAUCACCUAUUUGUUAAUCCGUUGCCUAACCUGUCACAUGGAAGCAAUCCAGCAGCAUUUCCCUUCUUCUACAUUAAACCAGCAGAACAUGAGAAUGUAGUCAGAAAGUUUUAUCCCAAGGAGAAGGGUCCAGUCACGGACGUGGAUCCUAUUGGAAAUUCUCCCGUGAUUAUUAAGAAGGUAAAGUUUUGUUGGUAUUGUUGUCUGUUAUUCAAUUAGUACUGCCCAAUUUGGUAUGAGUUUUCAAUUAGCAAUGUGAACCAGCUGCACAAUGUAAAUGUAUGUGAACAUCUCUUAUUAUAUCAUCUCAUUCAAUCAACUGACUUAAACCAUCAAUAUUCAGACCAUCCUGGAGGAAAUUUCACCAACAUGGGUCAAUGUAUCAUUGAGGAUGAAAGAUGACCCAGAGACAGAUAAAGCAUUCGGUUGGGUGCUAGAAAUGUAAGUGAAAGUGAAGAACAUCUAUCCUUACUGAUCGAUCUCAAUUUCCUGAAAUGUCUUUCAAGUUUUGCUGACAUCUUUCUGUGGAACUCAGGUAUGCUUAUGCUGUAGCGUCAGCGUUACAUGGUGUUCAUCAUAUACUUCGAAAAGACUUCAUGAUACAGGUAUCUCCUUUAUAUAUAUAUAUAUAUAAUAAAACCAGCUGUUUUUACUCGGUUAAUGUUCUCAAUUGGUUGGUUGGUUACUUACAUUAACUACUUGUUAUGUUUCAGCCACCAUGGGAUUUGAAAGUUGGGAAGACCUUCAUAAUUCAUUAUACUUACGGUUGCGACUACAACUUAAAGGUACAUCGCGAAUUCACGUCUUGCAUCGUUUUUGUUGUUCGAAUCAUCACUGUGACUUUUAGCUUUAUUGUUAAACGAGUGAGUUUUUGAAAUGGGUCAGGGAGAAUUAACUUAUGGGAAGAUUGGGGAAUGGCGUUUUGACAAAAGAUCCUAUCUUAGUGGUCCUCCACCAAGGAAUCUCUCAUUGCCUCCACCAGGAGUUCCAGAAAGUGUGGUAUGCCCAAUAAUGCUUCUUCUGCAAUCAGCUGUUUUACACAAACGCCUCCCUGUCAAUAAAUGGACAUUUUCCUCGUGAAUUUUCUGCAGGUGAGAUUGGUAAAAAUGGUAAACGAAGCGACGGCGAAUAUACCAGGUUGGGAGAGGUGAAGUGUAUUUGAUGGAUCACAUGGUGAAAAGAUUGUGUCAGCGUCCACCAAAGACAAGAUAUUGAUGACAUUGUACACACAGUGACAAAAAGGUGGUACAGAUAGAUGAAAAGAUAGAUAAGAGCAUGUUUACAAGCUAUGGAUAGAAUGUUUGGUAUAUCAAUCAGUGCACUAAUUGUAGAGGACCCCCCAGAAUUCUUUGUUUGGACAUGUAGAUUGAGAUAUUAAUGUCAUUUUGUGAAGAUAUCAGCCAAUCCAUGGUAGGGUUUGAGUAACUUUGUUUGCAUUUUCUGCUGCAGACAUCUUGCAAAUAAAUUGUCCCCUUAACUCAUGUUUCCUGAAACCCUGUUUUUAGCGGAUCUGCAGAAUCAGGAGGGGACGAACCUGGACUACCGACGCCCCCUAUGGUCAUCCGGUUUCAAAAGAAAUUUUUGUAAAAUUGAAGUUUUCGCCCAGUGUAUUUCAAAUUUCGCCUAGGGUCUGUUAACUGUCCUAAUUCCCCUAUUGAGUGGAUCCAUAUGACAUUAGUAACGAUUUUGUUUUUACUCAAAUAGGAUUUGUUCAGUUGUGCAGCACCGUACCUUUGUUGCCUUAUGAACUAACGAUGCAGGAACUCAAAUCUGGUAGCCAGACAGAAUUGCAGAACGGAACAAUAUUGUUCCAAUGCUCUGCAAGUCUGUUUAUGGAUUUAGAGAAGGAAUGUGUAUGUACACAAUCAAAAUAACCCUUCUUUUCUAUUUUCAUGAGUAAAUUUGUAAUGUAGUAGUUUUUUAUGAUUUUCAUCCGAAGUUUCUGCUGCUACUGACAGACUGAUGAAUAAAUAAUACACUUAUAUAUGAAAUGCCGUGUGAUGAUGCUAUUUGCUUUUCAAUCAAGGGUAAUUGUUGCUGGUGGGAGCUGGUCUUGUAGUUAAGGAAGGCUUCAUCUGAACAAUUUGUUCGUCAUCGACGCCCAUCUUCUUAGCGAAAAGACCAGCCUGAAAGAAGCCUUUAACAGCAUCUUCCAUGUAAGCAGUGCCUUGCUUCACAGUCAUUUUUUUCCCAAUCUGAUUGGGGUAACUGGAAAGAAGGUUGUCCCCCUUUAGAACAGCGGCUAGCUGCAGCAUUUCCUGCUGGAAUUCGCUGAGGUUUGCUUCUUCGUUUGCCUCGCCUUGCCUGAUCUUCAUUGGUGUAGGCAGUUGCUCUGUCCAGUGAUCAAAAUAGUAAAUUGUUUGUUUCUUAUAGUAUGAUGAUUUAGGGAAGAAAGGUUAAAUGAAUUUACCUGGGCAAUCAGUUCUGGGUUGAGUUCUGGAUUGGAGAAUGGAUUCAAAGGUUCCAGCCCAUUGGUCUCUUCGAGUGAGGAAAGAUGGCAAGUUGAAUAUCUUCUUGACGGUGGCCGGAAUUGAGGAGUGUUCAUACUCCGAAGUCGGAGUUGGUUGACCUUUUGGCCCAUGUACAACUGCAAUAUAUAUAUUCACAUGGGGUGCCUUAAUUAUUAUAUAUAUCCUCUUAAUUGGCGGGUGGAUUGUCCACCUAGCAUCCGCCCUACCUAACUCAAUCACAGUAUAUCUAUGAAUCAUUUUCACACCAAUACUAGCUUAGCUUACCGGUGGCCUUAUUGAUCCAAGGGGAGACAACAAUGGUGGGGACUCUGACUCCAAGUCGAUUAAAAGUAAAGUUGAAUGGCUCCGGACCCACUAUCCCGUCGGGGCUUGGUACUCCUUCAACAGGUGUGGAUACGUGAUCGUAAAAUCCGCCAUGCUCGUCGUAUGUUAUUAUCAGCAUCGUCUCGUUCCAUUGCGGGCUUGCCCUUAACGUCUCAUACACCUGAAUUUCACAAAAGUUUAUGAUUUUGGAUAAAAUAAUAUUUGUUUGAACUAUAAAUAUGCUUUUUUUUUCUCACCCAUUAAAUAAAAAAUUCUAAUACAUAGAUUUUUAAAAAUAGCAUUAAACAGAACAACAUGCAUAUUCGUUUUUAUAAGAAAAUAUCAUUAUUUCCCGUAACUAAGAAAGUCAACUCUUUAAAUAUUCUUUUUCCCAAGAUUGAAUCUGAAAUAAUUAAUACAAGCUGUAUAAGCAAAAGUCGGUACCUCUUUGACGAACAUCUGGCCGUUGUAGACGUCGUGGGAAGGGUGGUCGUCGUUGGCCGGAGCGAUUUUCAUGUCGGUGUAGCGCUGCUCCACCACCACGUAAUUAGGGAGCUUCCCUUGCUUGGCGUGGCUCUUGAACAUCAAGUCGUACGGCCGGAAAUUCGUCACGUACUUGAUCUUCCUCAAGUUCCGGUAGAACAGAGUCGCCGGAAUAUUCUGAUAGUAGAUUCCCCACUUCAGCCCGGCGUCGUCUAUGUUCUCGAAUAUGGUCCUCUGCGGGUAUCCCUUCACCAGUAGCGCCGGAAUGUUGCUCGUGGCCCCGUUUGAGGUCCCCGAGUGCACGUACAGCCGGUUCGGCUGCGUCGACGCAGGCACCGACGCAAACCCCCCACGCAAAUAUUCCACGGGUUGCANNNNNNNNNNNNNNNNNNNNNNNNNNNNNNNNNNNNNNNNNNNNNNNNNNNNNNNNNNNNNNNNNNNNNNNNNNNNNNNNNNNNNNNNNNNNNNNNNNNNNNNNNNNNNNNNNNNNNNNNNNNNNNNNNNNNNNNNNNNNNNNNNNNNNNNNNNNNNNNNNNNNNNNNNNNNNNNNNNNNNNNNNNNNNNNNNNNNNNNNNNNNNNNNNNNNNNNNNNNNNNNNNNNNNNNNNNNNNNNNNNNNNNNNNNNNNNNNNNNNNNNNNNNNNNNNNNNNNNNNNNNNNNNNNNNNNNNNNNNNNNNNNNNNNNNNNNNNNNNNNNNNNNNNNNNNNNNNNNNNNNNNNNNNNNNNNNNNNNNNNNNNNNNNNNNNNNNNNNNNNNNNNNNNNNNNNNNNNNNNNNNNNNNNNNNNNNNNNNNNNNNNNNNNNNNNNNNNNNNNNNNNNNNNNNNNNNNNNNNNNNNNNNNNNNNNNNNNNNNNNNNNNNNNNNNNNNNNNNNNNNNNNNNNNNNNNNNNNNNNNNNNNNNNNNNNNNNNNNNNNNNNNNNNNNNNNNNNNNNNNNNNGUUGCGUGUUCCCCUGCGCAGCUGGCGCCGGAAUGUUGCUCGUGCCCCCGUUUGAGGCCCCGGAGUGCACGUACAGCCGGUUCGGCUGCGUCGACGCAGGCACCGACGCAAACCACCUAUGCAAAUAUUCCAUGGGUUGCAUAGCUGAUUAGCUAGUUACGGAAUGUAUAACAUUAGGAAAUCAUUUAUUCUAAUCAUUUAUAUUUUCACAUUGAUUAUCAAUUAUUCAUACAUAUUUAUUAUUAUUCAUGUACAUUCAUCAUUUAUUCACGUUGGAUUAUAAAUACUAUUUUUAAAAAAGAAAUAUAAAUACUAUCUUUGUUUCUGUACACAGUUCAAAAACUGAAUUGUGCAAGAAAUUCGAUAAUAAAUUAAGAGAGGAAAAUGAUGACAAGGCGUUUAAAGCUCUAUAAAUUAAGAAUUUAAUGUGACUUCUGAACAAGGGAAAACGUAAUCAGAUCCUAAUGCAUGACAAUUAUUUAUGGAUUGCGAUAUUUUAUAGUGCACAACAAUACGCUUGAAUGCAUGCAUGAACUGUAAUUCAAAACUAACUGUAAGUCUGUAAGAAAUCAUAGGAUUUUUUUAGGGAAAAAGAAAUCAUAGGACUGGUUUGGCACGUAUAAAAUAGAUGAANNNNNNNNNNNNNNNNNNNNNNNNNNNNNNNNNNNNNNNNNNNNNNNNNNNNNNNNNNNNNNNNNNNNNNNNNNNNNNNNNNNNNNNNNNNNNNNNNNNNNNNNNNNNNNNNNNNNNNNNNNNNNNNNNNNNNNNNNNNNNNNNNNNNNNNNNNNNNNNNNNNNNNNNNNNNNNNNNNNNNNNNNNNNNNNNNNNNNNNNNNNNNNNNNNNNNNNNNNNNNNNNNNNNNNNNNNNNNNNNNNNNNNNNNNNNNNUGAGAGUUUUCAAAUUGUGAUUCAUCUACCUAUUUAAAAUUCAAAUACUAUCUUUACUUUUGUAAUAUUUACCAUUAAUAUUUAUCAAAUAAAGAAUAAUCUAAUAAUUAAACCAAAAAUAAUAUAUUUCUACUCAAAAUUCAGCAUAAAUAAAUAGCUUCUAAAUAGAUGUUUUAAAAAACAAAAAUUUCUUUAAAUAUGCAGUUUCACUGGAAGGAAUUACCGAUUCCCAAAACAGAAGAAUCAAACGUGGCCAUGGAGAUAAUUUCUCAAAUUCCCUUUUACUCACAAGUCAAAAGGUAAUUGAGAAACUUGGAAGGCUAUAGUUUCGGAAUUAAUCAUAAAAUUAAAAUUCUAAUGAUGUGAUUGGUCUUCUCCCAUUGGAUUCCCUUAUCCCAUUUCCUGUUUAUUCAUAGUUUCACACUUUCCACUUCACUACUUUAAUAAUUAUUGAAAAGAUGAAUUUUCCAUCCUCUGCCCCCGAGUAAAAACAGAGUAUCCUCAGCAAUCCCCAAAACCAAGAACAAAAUAUGGAAUUAAAUCAAUCAGGAAAUUAACAUUAAUGAAAAACCUGUCAAAGACGGCGAAUUCAGAAACGAGAGCCUUGUAAACGGCGACGGAAUCAGGGUGGAAGCCAUUCAUGACGUCUCUGGACAUGUUGGCAGAAGGGUCCAUGGAGAGAGCAUUCUGGGCGAACCCAUUCAUCGGCGGGGGAUCUUUAGAAGUAUCAUUCGACCCGAAUAUCUGCUCCCUGAUUGCCUGGAAUGAGUGACCCGGAUCCGGAUCCACGUAAUGGGCCUGGUCCUGGAAGUAUACUUUACCGGAGUUUGGAUCGGAUGUGUUUAGCGGGUUCCACUGGGUGCCGUCGACGCCGUUGAUUUCCGGGUUGAGCUUCUUCAUCCAGCCUAGCAUGUGGUCGAAGGAGCGAUUCUCCAUCACUAAUACGACGACGGUCUUGAUUGGGCUGUUUUUGUUGCUUGAGACUGCCUGGAUGUGGUGGACGACAUUGUUUGAGAGCAAAAGGAGGAGGAAGGUGAAGAGGGAGGCGGCGGCGCCGGAGAAAGAUCGGCGGUGGAGCAUUUUUGAGUGAGUGGAUUGAGACUUUUGGGGAUAUCUGUCUGAGCGCUACUGCUGCUGCAUAGUUUCUUGGUUUUUAUAGCCGCUAAUUUAUUUCUGUUUCUGCCACCCUCACACUCAGACUGAGAUAUUUAUUAUUUGUGGUGAAUUAAAGGGGUAACUUAAUCACUGAACAGAUACUACCGACCCUGGGGAGCCCUUAUGGUGAGAAACCGUCAAGAUAUCUGAGGUCCCCAAAUGCAUUUUCAACCAUUAGAUGGCCUUUAUUAGAUCUGAUGGUAUAUAUGAAAUAAUAACUGAAAAGGAUAAAAUUGUCCAAUUCAAAAAUAAUAACUUUUUUUUCCUGUUUUUCUCUUACGGUUUGUUGUCUUUCUAUUGAUAAGAGAUGGAUUUGGAGAUUGUAGAACGGGAGGAUGUCAAACCCUAGCAGCUUCGUCGAACCUUAGUUAUCGCUGCCGCCUGCCGUCCCUGCCAAUCUUGAUAGCUAGUUAGCGUUGCCUUCCUCUUGUAUAAAAGUAUGUUUUUAUUUUCUCGCUUGAAAGUCGCUUCUCCAUUCUAAAUCAAACCCCCACACAACUACCCUAAUGGCCUCUAACAAUACCGCCGCUGCCAACAAUACCGUCGCCGCCGUCGGCACCAAUGCUUCCGCAACAAGCGCUGCCGCAGCUGCAAUCCCAAGAGGACGAGCUGCUAAUGCUAGAUUCCACCUGCCAGCCGCCGUUGCUGCAUGAGUUGCCGCAAUAUCGCUCGACGAACAACCGGAGCCGGAACUUUCAUUGGCCGGCCUCAUCAUCACUCCGCCGGAAUGGAAUUAUCAAUGGUGCAUCGUAGGUGAGUUCCUUACUCGCUGGGAAAUCAAUUUUCCUAAGAUGUGCCGCAUGUUAUUUGGGAUCUGGUAACCGGGACGAGGUGUCGAAAUCGAUGCUCUUGAAGACCGAAAAAUUCUGUUUCGAUUUCAUCAUGACAUGGAUGUGGACCGCGUGAUGAAUGAUGGUCCUUGAGCUUCGACCAGCAGCAACUCGUCGUCUACAAGCUUCGGCCAGGACAGAUACCGCAACACGCCGACCUCACAAAGGUCGCCGUCUGGGUCCAUGUGCACGAGUGACCGUUUCGGUACCUCUUCGAAGCGGUGGGUAGAGCCAUUGGCGAUUUCGUUGGAGAGUUUGAUCGCUAUGACCUGAAAAAUGUCAUAGCCUUUGCGAAACCAUAUAUGUGAAUCUGAGUUUGGUUGGAUGUUCGAAAACUCCUCAAGCGAGAGAAGUUAGUACGCCUUCUCAGAAACACUCGGUUGUUUGCAAAUUUAGGUAUGAACGGUUUCAACACUUCUGUUUUAUCUGUGGUAUCUUGGGACAUGUUGAUAAGCAGUGCAAGAUUCACUUCCGACUCCCAAAAUAGCAAAUAAUUAGCCGGUGGGAUGACUCAAUAAGAGCUGGUAAUCGACCACCGGAAAAUCAGUACCUCAUCACUCGUGCGGCCGCCUCCUCCAUGAUGCCACAACAAGCUCGACCUCAACCCCUCGCAAUAUGCAUGGCUGCUAAUAUACUGGAUGAAGAUAAGCAUAUUGAUAUUGAGACAGACAAUGGAGAAACAGAAACACAGGAGCUACUGAUUCGGGAUGAGAAGAAGCGUAGGCUUCAGGAAAAUAUAAGAUGUAUACGGAAGAACACUUGGAUCAGAUGCCUUCUAAGUCACCGAAGAAGUUAGUGCACCAAAAAUCACAGGCUAUGGCGAAUCAUCUGGAGGUGAUUCGCCAUCGGGAGUAAUCACUUGGUAUGAAUCUGCUGAGGAGUCGGAUCACUGCAGCAGUUUCUUAUCGUUUGCAUUACUUUAGUAGGUUUUAAUUUCUUAGCUCGAGGUUUGGUUGUUUUGUUUAGUUCUAGUCGUUUUCUGGAUUUUUAUGUAAUGUCCGUUAGGAGAGUAAGGACCGAGCCUAUGAUCCAUAUAGUCCCAUUUUGUGGGAUUGCAUCUCCGGAUGGCUUGUUCCUCAACUUCUUUCUCGAUUUCGACCAUAUGAAAUGAUCAACGUUUAAGAAAAGAAAAAGAGAAAAAGGAUUUGUUUAAACUGAGCAGAAUGAGACCUAACUGACUCGAAUGAUAAAUUUAGCUUAAAAUGUUUUGGGAAUCCGACAAAGAUACUCCCUUCGAACAUUACAAGAAACAUCAGAAUAAGAAGACAAAUGACGGAAAUGUUAUAAAUUCAAGGAUUGGUUUUAAAGAUGUCUACUUAUAUAAUGGUACGUAGUUAGGGCUUUUGUUAAAUCUUUUUUAGUUAUGUUUUUUUAAUUUCUUGCCAUCUCCUUGCCGAUGCGAGCAUCUGAUGACUUUUUCGUCGAGAUUUUGAUAACUUUGCGGGUUAGUUUGCAACAAGUUAUAAAUUGUAAUCAUAAGUAACUUGUUACACGUAAUACAAAUAAUUGGUUAUAAUCAUUUGUAAUUAGUUGGAUGACUUAAAAUCAGUUAUAAUCGUUUGUAACUAGUUACAAAAUUUUGGGAACAGGAUUAAUAAAAUGAAACCCCAUACUAAUACUAUGACCCAGAUGGGCUAGACGAUCGGCAACAGAGUUGCCUUCUUCCAAUCCCUAUCGAGAAGCCGUCGGACUUCCUCGAUGCAAGUGGGAUGGCGGAGGUUGGGCUCGUUCUGACUUUGUAAGCACGAGACAGCUGUCUUAGAGUCCAGUUGCAGAUUAAUGGAUCCAUAUCCAAGAUUCCAAGCAGCUCGGAGACCAUAGAAGGCUCCCAUGAUCUCCGCUCUUGUUAUCGUACAUUGGUCUAAAUUUACAGCAAAAGCAGCCAAGCAUUGCCCAUGGUUGUCCCUAAAAACUCCACCCGCCGUAGCAUGUUUUGAAUCACUUAGCACUGAUCCAUCGGUGUUAAUGGUAAUACCAUUCCCCCGGACCCGGUUCCCAAGAUACCAGACGGUCUUCCCGGAUGCUAGCAUUCUCUGGACUCACAGACUUUCUAGCUUUCAUUGUCUCCCGAACCCCGACGAUCCAACGAAGGACUUGUAGGCGGAGCUGAGCACCAGAAAGCACUGUUUUCCCAAAGAUCGCUUCAUUCCGAACUUUCCAUAACAUCCAGAUAAUAAUUCCAAAGUCUAAUCCAUAUCCUUGGUGAGAAAUGCCACUAAGAAGCCAUUCUUGCAAGCCUGUGGAGUAAAAAUCAUUACGUUCUUGGUUCCCCAAGAUCCACUGCCAAAUGAAACAAGCAUUGGAACAGUCACGCAUGACAUGUAGGGUCGAUUCCGAAAGAAGUCCACAAGCAGCACAAAUAUUAGACGAGAUAAGAUGGCGGCCGUGCCUUUCAACGUUGGUGAGAAGCCGAUCUUGAAAGACCAACCAAAUAAAAUGCAUGAUUCAACUCGGUCCCUUCCAUUUCCAAAUAAUUUUUCACUCAUUCUGAUUAUUAGCUUUGCCAAUCCCUGCAACUAAAUUGUAAGCACUUUUACUGGAGAAUUUCCCCUUAUCAUCCAAUUCCCAGAUGAGACCAAUCAGCCUCAUCGCUCAUGGGUGCAGUCAUCCCCCACCAUGUUCCUAGCUACUGGUGGUAAAAAACUUCCAAUUUUCGCCCAAUCCCACUCUCCCUCUAUAGUAACCACAUCCCGAACCGUCCAUCCUAAAGCAUUUGUGACGUCUGAUGGAUUAAUUAUGCGGUGAUAAAUUUUAUUCGUCCACUUUAUCUUCUCUAGGCCAACCCUUUGAAGUUAGUUUUGAAAUUUCAGUUUCAAAAUAUUCUAUUCUUUCGUAUGGAUAUGGUUAGAAUGGUGUGUUAUUUUUUUUACAGCAAGCAUAAUCGCUUUAUUGAUGAAAUAUUUGUCGUAGUUCACUCUCGAUGCCCCGUUUAACCGCUGACGAUUUUUCAUUCAGCGCACAGCUCGCACAUUCAGUUGUUCAUAUGGGCAAGAAGCCUAUUUGGCAGGCCGCAUUAUUCAAUACAAUGGACAAAUAUACGGAAAGCUUGACGAGGAGGCUGUUUGAAACGUUUAUCAACAUACAUGGAGCUCGAUCGGUUAAAAUAUCUUAAAAAAGUUAAUAAAAAAGAAUGAUUCAUAAAGAAGUUAAUGGUGUUUACAAUUAUCAAUCGGAAUUAUGUAGAGACGGUCCGUGCAUUUCCAGUUGAGUGAGACGGUUGGAUACAAUCCAGAAUACACGUCUCCGUAAAAUCCACAAUGCAACUCCUUGGAAUUUAAGGGGAUUAAUUAGUCGUAAAUUUUAAAUUUUGGUAUCUUAAUGAUUAAUAAUUGAAGAUCUGAUACUAGGAAUAUUCCAAUGCUGUAUAAAGAUCGAAAUGGAUGAUGAUACGGUACGAUAAUGACAUUGCACCUUUGAGUUUGCGUCUCCCGUUGAAGUUUUUUAAUUUGGCUAAACAACUGAGAGAUAAAUUUAUAGGAUGCAUUAUAUGGACUGAUCUGACGGCUCAAAUUUAGUUUCGUAUUAAUUUGAUAAAUGGUUGAGACUACAUAAGGGUAGAAGAGGAAAUGUAUUGGAUAAAUAUUUUAAANNNNNNNNNNNNNNNNNNNNNNNNNNNNNNNNNNNNNNNNNNNNNNNNNNNNNNNNNNNNNNNNNNNNNNNNNNNNNNNNNNNNNNNNNNNNNNNNNNNNNNNNNNNNNNNNNNNNNNNNNNNNNNNNNNNNNNNNNNNNNNNNNNNNNNNNNNNNNNNNUGGCAUAAAAUUUUCGUAAACCAAACCAAAAAUAUGCAUAACAAACUCAUAAAGUAGACAUAACAAAGGCAUAAAAGAAUCUUAACAGUAAUGAUAUUUCGGUUACUUAACAUACCAAAGUUCGAUUUCAAUUUUUCUUAAAAGUUAAAAAAAUAUCAAAAUUAGUCUUGUUGGACUCAUAAAAUUAAAAUAAAUAACAUUCGGGAAGUAAAAUUAUAUUUUGAGCGUUGUAUAAUUAGCUAUAAUGAUUUAAAUCAAAAUUAGAGAAAAAACAAAAAAGAGAGAGUGUAUUUGAAAGAACAAUGAAAAAAUAAAAAUAAAAAUAAAAAUCAUUUUAUUUUGAGUUUUUUUGAAUACUGAGAUUACCCUUAAUGAAUAUCAAUGGCUAGAUUUAAUAUGGNNNNNNNNNNNNNNNNNNNNNNNNNNNNNNNNNNNNNNNNNNNNNNNNNNNNNNNNNNNNNNNNNNNAGCCGGGUUGGAAGUUGAAUACUAGGUUAUAUAAAAACUACUUUCUAGAAUCCUUUAUCCCAUUUCUAAAAAAACUUAGGAUGACGGCUUGCAUAAGCGAGUAAGGAUGAGGAGGGGGAAGAACGAAACUCGAACGAAGUGAUCUAUCCCUCUAAACCCAAUUGGUCAAGCUCUUUUUUGCGAUGAAACCAAAGGAGACUAGAAGUGGCAUAUCUCUCUAAAAUCGUUCCCGUCAUAAUUUGAAGAGCGAGGUAUCUGCAAUGGCAAGGAGGCCCUUCCAAGAGACACAAACCCAAACUCCUCAAUUAACUCUAUAAAAAGUCAGUCAUCGAGCAAAUAAUUGAAUCAGGUCAGAAACAAUCCAUCCAUUAGAACGAGAUCAAAUGGAUUGGCAAGUAUCAUGUCUUAAGCUCUCCGACACAUUGUGUUACUUUCAAAAUGAACCAACCAGUACCCCAACUUUGUGACAAACUUGAAUACUAGGUUAUAUAAAAACUACUUUCUAGUGUUAGCCUAUUGGUCACACACACAAAGCAAGCAACCAGUAACCCUAAAAACAGUGAGCAAAUUAAAAAGUAAACAGCAGUAAAUGAAUACCAAAUAUUUAUUAUCUAACUAUAUAAAGUGCAAACCAAUUUAAGUAUUAUUGUGAAUCGGUUGCACUGUUCAUUCACACACGGAACACUGUUCAUUAGUGGAUUCAUUGUUGCAAAGUUGAGUCUUCCGGAAUUGUUGGUGUGGAAAAUAUAAAGAGAAAAUUAAAAAAACCCAGCAUCCUGCAUGUAGCAGGUCAUUCCCGCGUUGUCUCAAUGUUGGCCGGUUGGUGUGAUGUUGAUUUUACCCUUUAUGCCCCUUAACCGUUACCGUCGGUUUACCCUCUUUAUCCACGGAUGCUGCAGUGAGAUUCGAUUGCUCUAGGAUUCCUGUCACGCCGACAUGCUAAAUAGCUUCAUCCGCUAUGCUUGGUCUCUUCAAUCGCCUCGUAUGUUUCUCCUCACCUUUUCAGUCUCCUUUCCAUGGCCAUUUCUGCACCUUCUUUCUUCAAUUUCUCUACCAGUCCUUCCCAUCCCCAUAUCUGCACCUUCUCCUUAUUUCAAUUUCUCUUUCAGUUAUUCACUCUCUGGAUCUCUUUCUUGGUUGCACCAUGCUCAUCCACGACAUCUCCGAGGAAAGUUUGCCGGCCGAACUCCACCUCCGCCUCAACAUGUAUGGAAGCUGUGCUAAUUACAGGCGGUGAUUCAAGACUAUCGUCGCCGUAACCAGUGGCUGCAAAUUAAUGGAAGAAGACGGAGGAGGACUACUCGGAUCCGAUGCCGCAGACCCAGUUCAUCUAACAAAGAAGAAGAAGAAGAAGAAGACGACGACGACGACGGAAGCCAAGAAGUAAAUUCAAUGGAGCUCAGCUUGAUGAUGAUCUUUACUUCGAUUUUCUUUCGGUUUCCCAUUUGAUUUUUCAUUUUUCUUUUCCCCAUUCAACAGAGAGAGUGAUCGAAGAAAAGUGCAAGGGAGAAGAUUGAAGCUCCGAUAAAGGCUGGGGAAUUGAGGUAAAGUACUUUUCUGCAAAUCUCAGCAUACUUGAUCAUGAAUGCAUCUCUCUGUUGUUGUAUUUUUGGGGUCUGCAGUUUUGUGUUGCUGGCUUGCAUGUUGAUGUGUGGAGUUAUUUUCAGUUUGAUAUUCCUUUUGUUGUAGCCAAUUGUGUUGUGUGGGUUUCCAGCUGCAGAGCUGCUUCGGCUAGCCUCCCUCGAACGGAGCUCAAAAUCUUGACUGACUUGCAUGGAAACGAGGUCACUAUUACUAAAUUCUCAUUUUUACUUGAAUGCCAGAAUUCAUUGGAGUCAUUUUUAUGUAAUAUGUGAAUUUCCAGUCAGAGAAAGGAGGACAGUUGACACAUGAUGAGACCACAAUCAUUACUAGAGCUUUGGAUAUGACUUAGGAGACUGAUGAAGAUGCUAUGACAAACAACAUGUAAAUAUCUACUGAAUUCCCUUUUCUAUGAGAACGAUCCUACAUUUGUUUCCUUACUAACACUCAUGUACCACUUUUUUACAACUCAUAGGAAUGUGGUUAGAAGGUCUCCACAGUCUACUUUCCACCAACCAACUUGAGGCUUGAUAAGUUAAUGUAGCAUUUCAGUAAUUGUCUGAUCAUCAGUCUUCGUAGUUUCUUAACCUUUGCCAAAUGGAUUCUAUUCCUUGUGUAUUUUUCUAAUGAGCUAUGGAUUCUUUUAACUGAAUUCAGAUUUAAUGCUGAAUGGCUAAUGGCUACAAGCGAGGAUGGAAAUGAAAAGAAAAAGGCAGCACUAUCACUCACACUACAGAUAAUGAUAUAAUAAACCCCGACUUUGAACAUAGACAAAUGCUAGACAUUGUAAUCAACUGCUAUGUUAGACUCAUUUAGAGGUAACUUUUUAUGUUGAUGUUUAAAGUAAUUGGUUAAUGAAGAAUUCGCAAUUUCCCUUUAAUGACAUGGAUGGGAAGACUGGAGGAUAACAAAA